rnacentral:rRNA from 1 species
AUUGAACGCUGGCGGCAUGCCUUACACAUGCAAGUCGAACGGCAGCGGACCUUCGGGUGCCGGCGAGUGGCGAACGGGUGAGUAAUAUAUCGGAACGUACCUUUCAGUGGGGGAUAACGUAGCGAAAGUUACGCUAAUACCGCAUAUUCUGUGAGCAGGAAAGCAGGGGAUCGCAAGACCUUGCGCUGAUUGAGCGGCCGAUAUCAGAUUAGCUAGUUGGUGAGGUAAAGGCUCACCAAGGCGACGAUCUGUAGCGGGUCUGAGAGGAUGAUCCGCCACACUGGGACUGAGACACGGUCCAGACUCCUACGGGAGGCAGCAGUGGGGAAUUUUGGACAAUGGGCGCAAGCCUGAUCCAGCCAUGCCGCGUGAGUGAAGAAGGCC